AAAUGUUGCAUAUAAUAUAUUUAGAAGUGAUCUGGCAUAAAUUGCUUCAUAGGGAUAUUACUUUAUAUGUAUAUUAUAAUAUUAAUUCAGUGCAUUUAUAUAUUGUAUUUUUAUCUAAUUUGUAUCUAAAACCCUAAUUUGGUGCAUUUUCUAGAAUCCCCAAAACAUGUUGUAAAAGCAUGUGAUGAUCAAGAAAGGCCGCUGGCCUCUGACCCUCAACAGCCAUUUUCCUCUUAAGCAUCAUAAUCUCACCCCAAUCUAGCAUUCGCAUUUGAGGCAAUUGUUUAGUAUGAAAUAACAGUAAUCACACCAAACACUGAAUGCCUUUUCUCGCUGUGUCUCUCUGCCUCUUCUUGUUCUCCUUUUGUCAUUGACCUUUGGACCCCGUCUCUGUCUGCAUAUUGACUGUUGGACUGUGAGUCACUUGAGCUGGCUGUCAAUACUUACCUGGUUUAGACACCCUGAGAGCUGUGGUCAUCAAGCAGACACGGUGAGAGUGGGGGAAAAGAGACACAUGCUGGAUGAGAAUGAAGAGAGAGAGGGAUUUAUGAGCACUCUGAUUGGACUGAAAAAAUCAAGGGCAAUAAUCCAGACACUAAAGUAAAUCUGGAAUCCAGAAUGCCACACAAGAUGACGGAUUGAUGACCAGAUGAGCCUAUGGAUGCUCUCACAUCAACGAACACGAAAAAGCAGAGCGAUCACAACAUAAAUAGACAGAUUGCAGGAUGGAUGAAUUGAUAGAUCUUUUAGAGAAGGUCAAACUUCUGUGAACUCACUCUCACUCUCAAACCAUCGUGAAAAGAAGAGAAAUUGAUUGCCGCUCACAAAAGGGUUGAAAUGACCAAGAAAUUAUUUUUCUGGGCAAUGAACAUUGUGAGUGAGUGAGAGAGAGAGAGGGAGAGAAAGGGGGGAAAAUGCCCAGCCUCUUUGUAUGAAUUGUCUCAAAAGUAACUAUAGUCAUCUUCAAGAUGUUGCCAGUGUUCUGGUCAAAUGGUCACUCUACCAGACCAGAGCGGUUUUGAGUUUCGGUACCUCAUCUGAAGUUUGGCCUCGAACGUAGCCUUCACAUUUCGCCAAAGGAGAUGGUCAUGAUGUCAUCAUUUCAGCUGUCAAGAGUCUGUCAAGGUUGCCUUGGGGACAACUGGCACCAGUGGAACCCUAGUGCCCUAUGGCACAAGCUUUCGAUUGUGGAUAUCACAGCUCCUCGAUUGAUGGAUGCCUCAGUCCACACUAUAUUACCCUGCUGGGGUGACAAAGAAGACAUCUAACACUCCCACCCCUGUGCAAAUAAAGACAUCUGGGGGGGGGAUGAAUUCUUCUUUAAUCAUAUGACGUCUGUGUGCACCAAGCCGUUCAAACGGCGCGCCACUAAUGGACUGCUGAUGAAUAGACAAAGGGAACAACCGUCCACAGUGAGCAGAACAAAUAGGCCUCCAGCACAAAUGGAGAUAAAAAAUCAUUUACAACAACUCCGUAAACUGCAACAUGAAGCUGCCUGCUGUUAUUGACAAACAUCUCCCAGGUACUACAGGUUCUUUGGUUUCCCAGCAUGCACUUCUUCCUCACAGUGACUAGGAUGUUGAGGUUCAGAUUUGCCACUCUGGACUGUUGAGAGACUCCUUCAAAUAAUAACAUUUAUUAAUGCAACACACAAUGUGUAAAUACAUAGGGUAUGUAAACUUUAUCAUUUAGUAAAAUUAUAAUAGAAAACGUAGUG